rnacentral:rRNA from 1 species
GUGGGGAAUCUUGCGCAAUGGACGAAAGUCUGACGCAGCGACGCCGCGUGGGUGAUGAAGGCCUUCGGGUUGUAAAGCCCUGUGGGGAGAGACGAAUAAGUCGUAGCUAAUAUCUCCGAUGAUGACGGUAUCUCCUUAGCAAGCACCGGCUAACUCUGUGCCAGCAGCCGCGGUAAUACAGAGGGUGCAAACGUUGUUCGGAAUUACUGGGCGUAAAGCGUGUGUAGGUGGCCAUUCAAGUCGGAUGUGAAAGCCACGGGCUCAACCCGUGAAGUGCAUUCGAUACUGCUUGGCUUGAGUAUCGGAGAGGUUGGUGGAAUUCUCGGUGUAGAGGUGAAAUUCGUAGAUAUCGAGAGGAACAUCGGUGGCGAAGGCGGCCAACUGGACGAAUACUGACACUGAGACACGAAAGCGUGGGGAGCAAACAGGAUUAGAUACCCCUGUAGUCC